rnacentral:rRNA from 1 species
AUUGAACGCUGGCGGCAGGCUUAACACAUGCAAGUCGAGCGAGCGGCGGACGGGUGAGUAAUGUCUGGGAAACUGCCUGAUGGAGGGGGAUAACUACUGGAAACGGUAGCUAAUACCGCAUACCAUCAGAUGUGCCCAGAUGGGAUUAGCUAGUAGGUGGGGUAAUGGCUCACCUAGGCGACGAUCCCUAGCUGGUCUGAGAGGAGGACCAGCCAGCCGGGAACUGAGACACGGUCCAGACUCCUACGGGAGGCAGCAGUGGGGAAUAUUGCACAAUGGGCGCAAGCCUGAUGCAGCCAUGCCGCGUGUGUGAAGAAGGCCAUCGGGUUGUAAAGCACUUUCAGCGAGGAGGCGUUACCGACAGAAGAAGCACCGGCUAACUCCGUGCCAGCAGCCGCGGUAAUAC